rnacentral:rRNA from 1 species
UACGUAGGGUGCAAGCGUUUAAUCGGAAUUACUGGGCGUAAAGCGUGCGCAGGCGGUUAUGUAAGACAGAUGUGAAAUGCCCGGGCUUAACCUGGGAACUGCAUUUGUGACUGCAUGGCUAGAGUUUGGCAGAGGGGGGUAGAAUUCCACGUGUGAGCAGUGAAAUGCGUAGAUAUGUGGAGGAACACCGAUGGCGAAGGCAGCCCCCUGGGUCAAGACUGACGCUCAUGC